rnacentral:rRNA from 1 species
GAUGAACGCUGGCGGCGUGCCUAAUACAUGCAAGUCGAGCGAACGGAUGAGAAGCUUGCUUCUCUGAUGUUAGCGGCGGACGGGUGAGUAACACGUGGAUAACCUACCUAUAAGACUGGGAUAACUUCGGGAAACCGGAGCUAAUACCGGAUAAUAUUUUGAACCGCAUGGUUCAAAAGUGAAAGACGGUCUUGCUGUCACUUAUAGAUGGAUCCGCGCUGCAUUAGCUAGUUGGUAAGGUAACGGCUUACCAAGGCAACGAUGCAUAGCCGACCUGAGAGGGUGAUCGGCCACACUGGAACUGAGACACGGUCCAGACUCCUACGGGAGGCAGCAGUAGGGAAUCUUCCGCAAUGGGCGAAAGCCUGACGGAGCAACGCCGCGUGAGUGAUGAAGGUCUUCGGAUCGUAAAACUCUGUUAUUAGGGAAGAACAUAUGUGUAAGUAACUGUGCACAUCUUGACGGUACCUAAGCAGAAAGCCACGGCUAACUACGG